CCAUUAUAUGAAAAAAUUAUAACAACACAUAAUCAAAUAUAAGGUUCCUAGAUGGAAUUUUCAAUUUCAUCUCGGUAGUCUAAAGAAUAACGUGAAAUUUGAAAGACGUGAAUUUGAAUAAAAAAUUGAAACUAAAGCAAAAUAUACAAUUUAAAAAGAAAAACUAAAAAUAACAAAAUGAUUAAAUUUAAAUAUUAUUUACCUUAACUCAAUAUUAUUUGAGAUAUUGAAACAAACACACAUACAUACAUACGUACUAAUUUCAAAUAAGAAAAACAAAAAGUCUGCCAGAAAAUCGAGAUUGUAAUCAACUAAAUUAAAAAUAAUUAUAAUUUGAAAUCAAAAUUUGUAGUUUUAGUGAUGUCAAAUAAAUUCCAAACUAAAUUUGUUUGCAGUUAUAAAUUAAACAUUAACCAUAAUAUUUAUUUAUACAUUUCCUUUAACAAAAAUAAAUUGGCUAAAUUAAUUUAAACAAAAACUAAAAUUUUGCAAAAAAAAAAAAAAAAAAACAUCGGCAUAUUUUCCACAACUUUAUUAAAGUGCGUAUCAACUCAAAAUUGUGUGAUUUUUUUAAUCAGUUGUUACUAAAAAA